AGCUCCAAUAGCGUAUAUUAAGUUGUUGCAGUUAAAGCUCGUAGUUGGAUUUCUGGCGUGGCGUGGCGGUCCACCUCGCGGUGAGCACUGCAGCGUCGUGCCAUCCUCCCGGAGUUGGGUGGUGCACUUAACUGUGUGUUGCUUGAAUUCGGGGCCUUUACUUUGAAAAUUAGAGUGUUCAAAGCAGGCAUACGCUUGAAUACAUUAGCAUGGAAUAAUAGAAUAGGACUUUGGUUCUAUUUUGUUGGUUUCUAGGAUUGAAGUAAUGAUUAAUAGGGACAGUUGGGGGCAUUAGUAUUAAUUGUCAGAGGUGAAAUUCUUGGAUUUAUGAAAGACUAACCACUGCGAAAGCAUUUGCCAAGGAUGUUUUCA
rnacentral:rRNA from 1 species